rnacentral:rRNA from 1 species
GCAAGUCGAACGCGAAAGUUCCCUUCGGGGAGCGAGUAGAGUGGCGCACGGGUGAGUAACACGUAGGUAAUCUACCUUUGGAUGGGGAAUAACAACCGGAAACGGUUGCUAAUACCGCAUAAUGCAGCGGCACCUAAUGGUGACAGUUGUUAAAGCGGGGGAUCGUAAGACCUCGCGUCUGAAGAGGAGCCUGCGGCGGAUUAGCUAGUUGGUAAGGUAAUGGCUUACCAAGGCGAUGAUCCGUAACCGGCCUGAGAGGGCGGUCGGUCACACUGACACUGACAUACGGGUCAGACUCCUACGGGAGGCAGCAGUCGGGAAUUUUGGGCAAUGGGCGAAAGCCUGACCCAGCAACGCCGCGUGAAGGAUGAAAUCCCUCGGGAUGUAAACUUCGCAAGAACAGGAAGAAUAAGUAAGGGUUAAUAUCUCUUAUGAUGACGGUACUGUUUGUAAGCUCCGGCUAACUCCGUGCCAGCAGCCGCGGUAAUACGGGGGGAGCAAGCGUUGUUCGGAUUUACUGGGCGUAAAGGGCGCGUAGGCGGCCACCGCAAGUCGACUGUGAAAUCUCCGGGCUUAACUCGGAAAGGUCAGCCGAUACUGCGGGGCUAGAGUGCAGAAGGGGCAACUGGAAUUCUCGGUGUAGCGGUGAAAUGCGUAGAUAUCGAGAGGAACACCUGCGGCGAAGGCGGGUUGCUGGGCUGACACUGACGCUGAAGCGCGAAAGCUAGGGGAGCGAACGGGAUUAGAUACCCCGGUAGUCCUAGCCUUAAACGAUGAAUGCUUGGUGUCUGGGGUUUUAUAGU